UUUUCUACUCCAUUUUCAUCCUACUUGUGUUGUUCUAUUUUCUGCCCACUGUAGUCUCUGUUUUAUCCAUUUUCAUUUCUGUUUUGAACUUUAAUUACCGUUCCAGUUACUGUCUUCUUGUUUCCAUUAUGUGUUCAUGUGUAUUGUUCAUUUUAAACGGUGAAUUUUAAUUGUUUGUGUCAUUUCCAGCUUUAUUUUUCAAUUCCAAUACUGUCAUAGUCAUGUGCACAUCACUGUUGCAGUUUUAAUUCUGUUUUUCUUGGUUUUUCUGUUCUGCUGGGUUUAAUUCAGUUUCUUUGAGAUUGAAGUGCUAGAAAAGCUUUAUAUCAACCAAUAGAGGCAAUGAAGACUUGAUCUAGCCUUGGUGAUACAAGCUAAAGCUCCAAAAACCAAAUCUGGUUUUAUUGCUGUUUGAAAUUCUAAUGCAGAAUUCCAUUUCUGGUUUUCAUUCAAGUUGUUUUUAAUUGAUUCUACUACUUUGAACAAAUUUUUUUGAUUUUAUUGGAAGUGGCUAAAAGUGUAGCAUACCAUUAAGAGCAAGGAAAUGCAAUUUGCAUAGCUUAGUUGUGCAUAAACACGAGAUUUCCACUGUUUUCGAUUUUAAUCUAGCUUUUCACCGUGCUACCAUCUUUGACUUGGUUUAUUUGGAGUCUACACAUACUAAGCACCAUAAUUCCAGCUUAGUUCUAUGUAAUGACAGUUCCUUGAGUCAAUUUUCCUUGCUGUCCAACCUUUGAUUCCAUAAAAUUGAUUUUGGGUGGAAGAGUUGAUGCAUUUUACUACAUAACUUGGUACAACAGAAGGUGAAUUUUGAUUGCUGCUGUUUUUGUGUUGUCUAAGAGUUUGAACAAGUCCAAAUUGAUGGUUUAAAAUUGCUUGCACUGUUCAUUUGGUCAAAAAUCAGACUAUAUGCAAAUUUGCAUUUGAAACCAUCAAUUUUUGAGUAAAAAUGGAAGUGGAAUGAUGAUUUUGAGUUGAUAGCAGAUAAUACUUCAUUUUAAAGUUUGAACAUACUCAAAAUCACCAUUAAAAGGUUCUUGAACUGUUUAUUGUGAGUUCCAAACAGUUUCUUUCGAAAUUGGAACUCAAACCACCAAAAUCAGUGUGAAUUUCUUGAUGCAGUCACGGUUUUCCAGCACUGUUUGAUAGUCUUGUGCAGAUUUCAUUUCUUUUGGAUUGGAAAAAGCUGGUUCUAUGAUUUAGAAUGAAAAUAAAUGAAUAAAAGAACAAAUAUCAAGUGUUAAAAAGCUUAGAGAACCAAUCAAUCCAGUUUACAAGUCCCCAAAGUUAAAAACACAAAAUCUGAAACUCUUUGGGACAUUUUAUCAAACAGUUUUGGAAAUUAUGAAACAGUUUGCAUUUGGCAUGAAUUCUGAAUUGUGCUUGCGUUUUUAUUGCUUUCUUAAUCCACUCUAGUGCUAUUCUUAGGUUCAUUUAGAGUGCUUGCUGUUAUUGGGUGUUGUUCCAUUUGAAUUCAUUAAUUUUUUGGCCUCUAAACUGUUGUUCCAGCCACUUGGAGUGCAGAAUUCUUAUGCAGAUUUUUAAAUCUGUUUGUGAUGUUUCUGUUGAAUUUUUGGAGCAUGUGUGCAGUCUAAUUGAGCCAUCCAGAAGUAGAAAACCUCUCCUAUUAUGGUAGCCUUCUAGGAAGUGGUUAGGGGAUUGAAAGUGAAGCAAGAAGAAAGGCUUAAUAGCAGCUAAAGAAUCACGUUCCAGCAGUUGUAAUUACUGUUUCAGCAGCAAUUCAUAGACCAGAAAAAUCAACCUUCAUACUAAUUUUGAGUGAUACAUUGCAGCAGCCAAGACUUGGAGUUUAUAUGAGUUUUAGGCAUCAUUUUGAGUUUGUUUGAGCCUUAAUAUCACGGAACCUUUGUAGUUUAAUUUCCAUUUCUGUUUUUUGGGUUAAGUGACUUGGGAAAAUGCUCUAGAAGCAAUUCCAAGAUCACAUUUGAACAUUGUAGUAGUGUAAUUUCGUUUUCUUAGUGUGGAAGUGUGUCAAGGGGCUCCAAGUGUCACUUGCACUUUCACUUAGGGUCGUCUAGCAUUUACAUUUUGCACCUUUAUUGCUUUCUUUAAUUUGCUUGUUGAUUUCUUUGUUUUCAGUCGCCGUGGUGUAUAGGAUUGCAUAGCAUAUAGGUAAACCUUCUUUUGGUUUUUAGGAUCAUUCCAUUAUCAUUUAAAAACUUUUUGAAAGGUUUCUAUUUAGAAACUAAGGUAAAAGGAAAUCCAAGGAAACUCUGGCUAGGAAGAACUUGGUUUUUAAGCUUGUCCACUUGUGACUCACCU
rnacentral:lncRNA from 1 species